GACGAACGCUGGCGGCGUGCUUAACACAUGCAAGUCGAACGGAAAGGCCCUGCUUUUGUGGGGUGCUCGAGUGGCGAACGGGUGAGUAACACGUGAGUAACCUGCCCUUGACUUUGGGAUAACUUCAGGAAACUGGGGCUAAUACCGGAUAGGAGCUCCUGCUGCAUGGUGGGGGUUGGAAAGUUUCGGCGGUUGGGGAUGGACUCGCGGCUUAUCGGCUUGUUGGUGGGGUAGUGGCUUACCAAGGCUUUGACGGGUAGCCGGCCUGAGAGGGUGACCGGCCACAUGGGGACUGAGGUACGGCCCAGACUCCUACGGGAGGCAGCAGGGGGGAAUAUUACACAAUGGGCGGAAGCCUGAUGCAGCAACGCCGCGUGCGUGAUGACGGCCUUCGGGGUAUAAACCGCUUUCUCCUGUGACGAAGCGUUAGUGACGGUAAUGGGUAAAGAAGCACCGGCUAACUACGUG
rnacentral:rRNA from 1 species